UUGGAAGUUUGGACGAGAACUUGYUAAACCUAUCUUUAGAGGAAGGUGAAGUCUAGCAAGGUUUCCGUAGGUGAACCUGCGGAAGGAUCA
rnacentral:rRNA from 1 species